rnacentral:tRNA from 1 species
CCGAUCUUAGCUCAGUUGGUAGAGCGGAGGACUGUAGAUCCUUAGGUCACUGGUUCGAAUCCGGUAGGUCGGA